rnacentral:rRNA from 1 species
UACAGAGGGGUCAAGCGUUGUUCGGAAUUACUGGGCGUAAAGGGCGCGUAGGCGGCCUGCUAAGUCGAACGUGAAAUCCCCGGGCUCAACCCGGGAACUGCGUCCGAUACUGGCAGGCUUGAAUCCGGGAGAGGGAUGUGGAAUUCCAGGUGUAGCGGUGAAAUGCGUAGAUAUCUGGAGGAACACCGGUGGCGAAGGCGGCAUCCUGGACCGGCAUUGACGCUGAGGCGCGAAAGCCAGGGGAGCAAACGGG